rnacentral:rRNA from 1 species
CAGCAGUGGGGAAUAUUGCACAAUGGGCGCAAGCCUGAUGCAGCCAUGCCGCGUGUAUGAAGAAGGCCUUCGGGUUGUAAAGACUUUCAGCAGUGAGGAAGGCAGGUACGUUAAUAGCGUGCUUGUUUGACGUUAGCUGCAGAAGAAGCACCGGCUAACUCCGUGCCAGCAGCCGCGGUAAUACGGAGGGUGCGAGCGUUAAUCGGAAUUACUGGGCGUAAAGCGCAUGCAGGUGGUUUGUUAAGUCAGAUGUGAAAGCCCGGGGCUCAACCUCGGAAUUGCAUUUGAAACUGGCAGACUAGAGUACUGUAGAGGGGGUAGAAUUUCAGGUGUAGCGGUGAAAAUGCGUAGAGAUCUGAAGGAAUACCGGUGGCGAAGGCGGCCCCCUGGACAGAUACUGACACUCAGAUGCGAAAAGCGUGGGGAGCAAACAGGAUUAGAUACCCUGGUAG